GCUACCCAGCACCUUCCAAAUACUCUCAGGAUGUUUCAGAAAUUGGCAGCCACAUGGACCUGGCUUCAUCAGAGCAGAAUCCAGAAAACUCAAAUCCCCAGACUUCCUUGCAGCUAAGAUACAAGCGCUGGGACUACAUUUUGCCAACGAGUCACGUGCUCCUGACUCUGGUUUAAAAACAAGCUACUUAAGGAAACAAGCUUUGGGAGGAGUCCAUUUUGUUUGUUUUGAUGGGAGCAGAGGCAUCCAGUAAUCAGGAGCAGCUCGCCUAGGGAUUUCCUCCGGUGCUCAGUGAGCAGCAGAAGUUACAGUUUGCUCAUCGGGCCGGUUCUGAUGCAUGCUUUAGAUGGUUCCCAUCUGGAGCCUCUGCUAGGAAGAACUGAAGAGUGACUCAUGACUGGGAGUUGGAAUCCUCUGGAGACCCCCUUUUCCUUGAUCAUCUCUGUUGCUUAGCCUGACCUAGGCAAGGACUAGGACUACUGACUGGAGGUCUUUGCUCCCUCACAAAAUACUGCCUCAGGGUAAUCAGACUUGUCACUUGUCAGUGGAAUUAUAAACAAAGGGGAUGAUGGUACAUUGUCUUUCAUGGCCCAUCUUGGAAGAUGCAUACCCUGUUGUUAAUUCCAGCAUACUCCAUUGGCCAAAGCAGUCACGAGCCUGCCCAGAAUCAAGGGGAGGAGAAUUAGACUCCACCUCCUAAUGGGGAAGUGGCAAAGCCACACCAUAGAAGAGCAUGUGGGAUAAGAAGUGUUGUUGCAUCCGUUUUUGGAAAAUAAAUUCUGCCACGGUGAUGUUGGGAAAAUGGA